AUGAGUUGUCUCAGGUUGGACAAGAAACGGAAAUUGAAACUGACAAUGCAACUGUUGAAGAUGAAGACAAGAACUACAYCAAGUUCAAGGGUCAAACUGAGGACCAAAGCACCAAAACUGUACGGUACCUUGAUGUAGUACCAUUUGCUGAAGAAACACCCCUCCAAAAGUGGGCCUUAAGGGUGUCAACUGUGUUAGUAUUGUGUGUGAUGGUCUUCCUGUGGGUGUACUAUAGAUAAACAACUACAAAAUGAAAACAAGUGUGAAACAUUUUGAACAUAUGUAAUAUAUUUGAACUUCAACUAUCUGUUAGAUUGUAUGUUGUAAAAAUUUACCUAUUUUGGACAAUAAUCCAACCGACUCACACAUGUUGUCCAAAUACAGUAAUACAGUACC